CACGUAGGCGGACUUUUAAGUCAGGGGUGAAAUCCCGGGGCUCAACCCCGGAACUGCCUUUGAUACUGGAAGUCUUGAGUAUGGUAGAGGUGAGUGGAAUUCCGAGUGUAGAGGUGAAAUUCGUAGAUAUUCGGAGGAACACCAGUGGCGAAGGCGGCCUGCUGGACGACAACUGACGCUGAGGCGCGAAAGCGUGGGGAGCAAACAGGAUUAGAUACCCCCGUA
rnacentral:rRNA from 1 species